rnacentral:rRNA from 1 species
AUUGAACGCUGGCGGCAGGCUUAACACAUGCAAGUCGAGCGAGCGGCGGACGGGUGAGUAAUGUCUGGGGAACUGCCCGAUAGAGGGGGAUAACUACUGGAAACGGUGGCUAAUACCGCAUACCAUCGGAUGUACCCAGAUGGGAUUAGCUAGUAGGUGGGGUAAAGGCUCACCUAGGCGACGAUCCCUAGCUGGUCUGAGAGGAUGAUCAGCCACACUGGAACUGAGACACGGCCCAGACUCCUACGGGAGGCAGCAGUGGGGAAUAUUGCACAAUGGGCGCAAGCCUGAUGCAGCCAUGCCGCGUGUAUGAAGAAGGCCUUAGGGUUGUAAAGUACUUUCAGCGAGGAGGCGUUACCCGCAGAAGAAGCACCGGCUAACUCCGUGCCAGCCGCCGCGGUAAUUC